AACCAGCACCUCAAGUGGUCAGGAUGAUUAUUGGGCCUAAAGCAUCCGUAGCCUGUUUUGUAAGUCUCCGGUUAAAUCCAUCAACUCAAGUGAUGGGCUGCCGAAGAUACUGCAAAACUAGGGAAUGGGAGAGGUAGACGGUACUCGAUAGGAAGGGGUAAAAUCCUUUGAUCUAUUGAUGACCACCUGUGGCGAAGGCGGCUUACUGGACCAAUACUGACGCUGAGGUACAAAAGCGUGGGGAGCGAACAGG
rnacentral:rRNA from 1 species